rnacentral:misc_RNA from 1 species
UGCCACCAGCCCGCCUGCCCCAG